rnacentral:misc_RNA from 1 species
AAGGAGUCUAACAUAUAUGCGAGUAUUUGGGUGGUAAACCCAUAUGCGUAAUGAAAGUGAUAAGGUGGGAUCCCUCUGGGUGCACCAUCGACCGGUCUGGAUUUCUUGUAUUGAAAGAUCUGAGUAAGAGCAUAUCUGUUGGGACCCGAAAGAUGGUGAACUAUGCCUGAAUAGGGUGAAGCCAGAGGAAACUCUGGUGGAGGCUCGUAGCGGUUCUGACGUGCAAAUCGUUCGUCGAACUUGAGUAUAGGGGCGAAAAACCAACCGAAUCACCUAUUAGCUGGUUUCCUC